rnacentral:rRNA from 1 species
GAUGAACGCUGGCGGCGUGCCUAAUACAUGCAAGUCGAACGCACAGCGAAAGGUGCUUGCACCUUUCAAGUGAGUGGCGAACGGGUGAGUAACACGUGUACAACCUGCCUCAAGGCUGGGGAUAACAUUUGGAAACAGAUGCUAAUACCGAAUAAGACUUAGUGUCGCAUGACACAAAGUUAAAAGGCGCUUUGGCGUCACCUAAAGAUGGAUCCGCGGUG